GAAGCGAAAGCGAGUCUGAAUAGGGCAAUAGUUGCGUUGGGUAGACCCGAAACCAAGUGAGCUACCCUUGGCCAGGAUGAAGCCCCGGUAACACGGGGUGGAGGUCCGAAUGCCUCAACGUGAAAAGUUGAGUAAUGAGCUGUGGGUAGGGGUGAAAAGCCAAUCGAACUUGGAGAUAGCUGGUUCUCCCCGAAAUAGUUUUAGGACUAGCCUCGGAAAUGAGAAUCAUGGGGGUAGAGCACUGGAUGGGCUAGGGGGCAUACCAGCUUACCAAACCCAACCAAACUUCGAAUACCAUGAUUUGGUGUCCGGGAGUCAGGCAGUGGGAGAUAAGUUUCAUUGCCGCGAGGGAAACAGCCCAGACCGUCGGUUAAGGUCCUGAAGUUCAUGCUAAGUGGGAAACGAUGUAGAGUUCCAUAGACAGCCAGGAUGUUGGCUUAGAAGCAGCCAUUCAUUCAAAGAGUGCGUAAUAGCUCACUGGUCGAGGGACUCUGCGCGGAAAAUGUAACGGGGCUGAAGCAUGACACCGAAACCACGGGUUCAGUAGAAUUUCGGUUCUAUUGGGCGGUAGGGGAGCGUUCUGCAUUGGAAGAAGGUAUACCGCGAGGAGUGCUGGACGGUGCAGAAAUGAGAAUGUCGGAACGAGUAGCGAUAAGACAGGCGAGAAACCUGUUCGCCGUAAGCCUAAGGUUUCCUGGGCAAGGUUAAUCCACCCAGGGUUAGUCGGUCCUAAGCCGAGGUCGAGUCGACGUAGGUGAAGGGAAGCUGGUUAAUAUUCCGCACCAUGUGCUUAUCGGUUAUCGAUGUGGUGACGCAGGGGGGUAUUCCCGCACGGUUCGAUAGUCCGUGUCGAAGGGUGUAGGCGGAGACUACAGGCAAAUCCGUAGUUUCAACGCUGAGGCCUGACAGGCACCCGAAGCUAGUAGGGUGAAGGAGAAGAUCCCUGGCUGCCGAGAAAAGCCACUAAGAGAGAUGAGCAUGUGACCGUACCGCAAACCGACACAGGUGGGCGAGGAGAAAAUCCUAAGGCGCUCGAGAGAACCCACGUUAAGGAACUAGGCAAAUUGACUCCGUAACUUCGGGAGAAGGAGUGCUCUGGUAGGGUGACGGGAACGUAUUAGCAAUGAUGCGUCGAACGGUAGCCCGAGAGAGUCGCAGAGAAUAGGCUCAGGCGACUGUUUAUCAAAAACACAGGACUCUGCUAAGGCGAAUAGCCGACGUAUAGGGUCUGACGCCUGCCCAAUGCUGGAAGGUUACGGGGAGGGGUCAGGAGUAGUAAUACUCCGAAGCUCCGAACUUAAGCCCCAGUGAAUGGCGGCCGUAACUAUAACGGUCCUAAGGUAGCGAAAUCCCUUGUCGGGUAAGUUCCGACCCGCAUGAAUGGCGUAACGGUCUGAGCACUGUCUCAACGUGGGGCUCGGCGAAACUGUGAACUGGGUGAAGACGCCCAGUAUCCGCAUCAGGACAAAAAGACCCCGUGGAGCUUUACUGUAGCUUGAUAUUGACUUUUGGCCUUAUAUGUAGAGCAUAGGUGGGAGACUAUGAAACUAGGGCGCCAGCCUUGGUGGAGUCAACAGUGGAAUACCACCCUUAUGAGUCUGGAAUUCUAACUUGCGCCCGUUGAUCCGGGCGAGGGACAGUGUCAGGCGGGCAGUUUGACUGGGGCGGUCGCCUCCCAAAAUGUAACGGAGGCGUCCAAAGGUUCCCUCAGCGUGAUUGGAAACCACGCGCAGAGUGCAAAGGCAAAAGGGAGCUUGACUGUGAGGCAAACGAGCCGAACAGGGACGAAAGUCGGGCUUAGUGAUCCGGUGGUUCCGAAUGGAAGGGCCAUCGCUCAACGGAUAAAAGCUACCCCGGGGAUAACAGGCUUAUCUCCCCCAAGAGUUCAUAUCGACGGGGAGGUUUGGCACCUCGAUGUCGGCUCAUCGCAUCCUGGGGCUGGAGUAGGUCCCAAGGGUUGGGCUGUUCGCCCAUUAAAGC
rnacentral:rRNA from 1 species